rnacentral:rRNA from 1 species
AUUGAACGCUGGCGGCAGGCUUAACACAUGCAAGUCGAGCGGGGGAGGUUGCUUCGGUAACUGACCUAGCGGCGGACGGGUGAGUAAUGCUUAGGAAUCUGCCUAUUAGUGGGGGACAACAUUCCGAAAGGGAUGCUAAUACCGCAUACGCCCUACGGGGGAAAGCAGGGGAUCUUCGGACCUUGCGCUAAUAGAUGAGCCUAAGUCGGAUUAGCUAGUUGGUGGGGUAAAGGCCUACCAAGGCGACGAUCUGUAGCGGGUCUGAGAGGAUGAGCCGCAACACUGGGACGGAGACACGGCCCAGACUCCUACGGGAGGCAGCAGUGGGGAAUAUUGGACAAUGGGCGGAAGCCUGAUCCAGCCAUGCCGCGUGUGUGAAGAAGGCCUUUUGGUUGUAAAGCACUUUAAGCGAGGAGGAGGCUACUAGUACUAAUACUACUGGAUAGUGGACGUUACUCGCAGAAUAAGCACCGGCUAACUCUGUGCCAGCCGCCGCUGUAAAAC